rnacentral:lncRNA from 1 species
AGAAUUGCUCUCUGGGCAGAGGGCUGCGGAGCAGGAGCGAGGCUGCAGGUGUGAGAAGGACCCCGCCGUGCCAGGGCAGCCUCAAGGAGCUGUUGAGCGAGUUGAGCCCAGAAGACAAAGGUCGCUGAAGUCCUUCCAGGAGAAGAAGAUCAAUGCCUGGGCUGAGCCUGCGGUUAACAUCUUAAUAGUAACCGGAGAGUUUCUGAGAGAUUAGGCUCACAUACCUCUCAGAGUCCAGGAGGCAGUGAGGGAAAGCUUUUAAUUCAAAGCCCUAUCCAUCUUCCCAACUCAGGCCCUUCUGCCCCCUUUGUCAGUGUGCCCUUGUGGGAAGCCGGUGCGUUUCCAGGGGAGCUGCUGGAGGCUUCUUAUGGCAUGCAGAUCAAGGAAGACCUGUAGACUACAUGCACCCUGGCGCUCUGGGUAUGUUGUUUCUGCAGGUUUGGGAGGCAGCUGUCCUCCAAAGCAUACAAUUACUAAGAACAGGGACCAUAGUUUCACACUUCAGUGCCUAAACAGGCCCUGACACCCAGUUUGGCUAGGUUGAGUCUGGGUGCCAGAGAUUAGAGCUGGGAUUGGAGAUGUAGCCCGUCCCCGUUCAGGAGCCUCUCACGUGUAUUGCCUCUCACGUGUAUUGUCUGUGAGUGUGCUGGGCUCCCAGACACAUAUGUCACAGUGAGCUGUGGGAAUGACCCUUGACUCCUAUCCUGAUGGGAGUGGGAGAGGGUGCAAGAACUGGCCCUGGAGACAGGGGAGGGGUUGUGAGAGCCAGAGCACAGAUGCCUGCACACCAGGCACUGGGGGCGGGGGUUGGGAUGGAGAGUGUGGUGAUGGUAAUGGCCUAUAGUCGUGGGGGCUUGGGGACUUCUGAGGGAUGUGGGUAAAUCUGGAGUUUUUCCUAUAGGAACGGGGAGCCAUGGAACGUGCGUGAAGCGGUGUGUAAAACUGGAGAGAAAAACCCUAAGGAGACCUCAUCGGACGUUCCUGUGAUAAUCUAGGCCUCAGGACAGGCAGACUGGGAUGCUUGUGUUACCCCUAACUUUAGAUUACUCUCCCACUGCUCCCCUCCUUCACUGUAGAUUCCCACAAUUUCAGUAUCAAUGUAAUUACAAUUUAGGGGCUUAGAAACUCCUGUAUUUAUUGAGAACCCACUUAAUUUACAUAUAUUGAGUUUCAAUAUUGCACAACUCUGUGUGGAGGGGUUAGGGUGGAGGAGACCUGAGAUGACAGAAGGCCAUGUUCUCUAGGGAUGGUCUGCAGCCCUCAGUGCUGUCUCUUUUCCCUCCAGCGCCCCCUCUGUGCCCCCCUCCAAUCCCUGCUCCCCCCAGUCUCUAUAGCUGAAGGCUAGGACGAACUGUGGGGUUGUGAAUAUUUACGCAGGCAGGCAUAGGACUCAGUGACGCAGCUGAGAGCCACGCAAGUGUUUGGUGACUCAUCAGACCUUCUCCAAAGACUUGUGAUAUUUUUCUCCUCUGAAGGGCCGAAAGCAAUUUGCAGUUAAUGAUAGUAUAUGACGCCAGAAGAGUACGCAGACCUUCCGGCUCAUCUUUUCUGUGCCUUGGGUGUUUUGUUUUUGAAAAAACCUAUGUGAAUUAUUUUCCCUUUAGUAAUGUUUAUUUUAUUCUGAUUAUUAAAAUAAUGUAUGCUCAUUGUAGAAAAUACAUAAAUGCAUUAAAUAG